rnacentral:rRNA from 1 species
AUGGUGGAUGUGGAGCACCGGAUGGCGGGCAUGGCUCCGGCGGCGCACGCGGCCGGCCUGCGCCGUCUCUCCACGCGGGCCGCGGCCGGCCCUUCCUCGGCGUCGGCCUCCCCGCGCCACGGGCUCUACUCCUUCCAGGGCCUGGCGUCGUCCGUGCUCUCGCACCUCCGGGCGUCCGGGGUGGCCAUCCUCCCGGGCCUCUCCGACACGGAGCUCGCCCGCGCCGAGGCCGAGAUGGGGUUCACCUUCCCGCCCGACCUCCGAGCCGUGCUGGCCCUCGGGCUGCCGUCAGGCCCCGGGUUCCCGGACUGGCGCUCCCGCGCGGGGCUCCGCGCCGCGUUCGACCUGCCCGUCGCCGCCGCGUCGCUCCAGAUCGCGAGGGGCGCGCUGUGGCCCCGGUGCUGGGGCAAGAGGCCGGCCGACCCCGACCGCGCGAGGCGGCUCGCUCGCUCCGCCAUACGGCGCGCGCCGCUGCUGGUGCCGCUCUUCGAUCGGUGCUACCUGCCCUGCACCCCCUCCCUCGCCGGGAACCCCGUGUUCUUCGUCACCGACGACCGCGUCCUCUGCUGCGGCCUCGACGUCGUCCACUUCUUUACCCGGGAGUCGUCCUUCCAGCCGAUGGACAUCUCCUCCCCGUUCGCGGCGAUGCCCUCUUCCGGCACGAGCACGCCGUGCACCCGCCGCAGCCUCGACGCGGCCUGCGGCGGCCAGGCCCCACGCUGGAUCGAGUUCUGGAGCGACGCGGCCUCCGACAGGCGCCGCCGCGACUCGUCGUCCUCCGAAGCCUCCACCGCAUCCACAUCCUCGUCAGGCUGCUGCUCGCCACCUCGGAGGUCGACGCCGCGCUGGGUCGACAACUACCUGGACAAGCUCGGAUCGGUGCUCAAGAAAGGUGGCUGGAGGGACAGGGAGGUGGACGAGAUGGUGGAGGUGGCCGCGUCCGGGAUGUUCGACGGCGAGGAGGCUCCGCCAGCCGCCGACGCGGAGGCCGUGCUCGACACACUCCUCCUGAAGACGGACCGGUGCUCAGACUCGCUCAGGCGCGCCGGAUGGAGCUCCGAGGACGUAUCGGACGCGCUGGGGCUCGACCUCCGGCGGUGCAAGGAGCCGCACCGAUCGGUCGUGCGAGUGCCCCCAGAGAUCGCCGCCAAGGUGCAGCGGCUCGCGCGGACGGUGGCGAGGUCGUGA